GUUGGUGAACCAGCGGAGGGAUCAUUACCGAGUUUACAACUCCCAAACCCAAUGUGAACGUUACCAAACUGUUGCCUCGGCGGGAUCUCUGCCCCGGGUGCGUCGCAGCCCCGGACCAAGGCGCCCGCCGGAGGACCAACCAAAACUCUUAUUGUAUACCCCCUCGCGGGUUUUUUUAUAAUCUGAGCCUUCUCGGCGCCUCUCGUAGGCGUUUCGAAAAUGAAUCAAAACUUUCAACAACGGAUCUCUUGGUUCUGGCAUCGAUGAAGAACGCAGCGAAAUGCGAUAAGUAAUGUGAAUUGCAGAAUUCAGUGAAUCAUCGAAUCUUUGAACGCACAUUGCGCCCGCCAGUAUUCUGGCGGGCAUGCCUGUCCGAGCGUCAUUUCAACCCUCGAACCCCUCCGGGGGGUCGGCGUUGGGGAUCGGCCCUUCCCUUAGCGGGGUGGCCGUCUCCGAAAUACAGUGGCGGUCUCGCCGCAGCCUCUCCUGCGCAGUAGUUUGCACACUCGCAUCGGGAGCGCGGCGCGUCCACAGCCGUUAAACACCCAACUUCUGAAAUGUUGACCUCGGAUC
rnacentral:rRNA from 1 species